GACGAACGCUGGCGGCGUGCUUAACACAUGCAAGUCGAACGGACAGGCCCUGCUUUUGUGGGGUGCUCGAGUGGCGAACGGGUGAGUAAAACGUGGGUAACCUGCCCUUGACUUUGGGAUAACUUCAGGAAACUGGGGCUAAUACCGCAUAGGAGCUCCUGCUGCACGGGGGGGGUUGGUAAGUUUCGGCGGUUGGGGCUGGACUCGCGGCUUAGCAGCUUGUUGGGCGGGUAGUGGCUUACCCAGGCUUUGACGGGUAGCCGGCCUGAGAGGGUGACCGGCCACAUUGGGACUGAGAUACGGCCCAGACUCCUACGGGAGGCAGCAGUGGGGAAUAUUGCACAAUGGGCGGAAGCCUGAUGCAGCAACGCCGCGUGCGGGAUGACGGCCUUCGGGUUGUAAACCGCUUUCGCCUGUGACGAAGCGUGAGUGACGGUAAUGGGUAAAGAAGCACCGGCUAACUACGUG
rnacentral:rRNA from 1 species